UGUAGGUUUUACAGAGUUUCUCGGAGUGCCUUAAAGCAAAUAUAUAACUUCAUUUGAACAAAGGCCUGCUGAAUAAGUGCCCAGCGUUCCAGAAGGCAUUUACAGGAUAUCUUCGUGUCUUAUCUAUGCAGUACGCCCCCUGGUGACACAUUGCUACAUCCGGGUGAUAUACUGACAGCUCUCUAUCUGCAUGCGGUUCAUUGGAGAUUGUUACAGUAACAUAUUUGGUACAGCGAUAUGAGGAUGGUUAGAUACUGCAGCCACGAGAAUCAUUGAAACUUACGUUGCCAACGUUACAGAUAGUGGACCCAGCAUAAUGACGUAUUCCAUCACAGCGUUAUAUUUUACGUUUACGUCACUGAUGUCAACAGGAUUCGGAAACGUGUCACCAAAUACCAAUGGAAUUGACAUGGCGGUUUAUUUGUAUAGACUUUCUAUGAAUCAAGUAGUGUACCGGUGAUGACAU